AUAGUAGUGGAAAUGGGAUGUGGU
rnacentral:siRNA from 1 species